rnacentral:lncRNA from 1 species
AAUAAAAUAUCAACUCAAAACAGAGUAUAGCAGUUUAUCACACAGAAAUACAGAUAUAGCUCCUUUAAUAAGCAAAUAAAGCUUUAAAUAUACUUUACACAAUAAGAAUGAAGCUCUUCUAAUUUUUCUCAAGAUGGUUGAAGACUUGAAUGAGCUCUUGAGGGGUUGGUGAAUUUGAAAUAAAAGCUUCUGAAACUUUUAAGAGGGCUCUUGCUUAGGGUUGAAGUGAAUGCUUGAAAAAUCUUUUUCAAAACCUUUUUCUUCAUCUUGAUUUCCUCCUUUAAGUGCCUUUUAUAACUUCAAAUAAUGAUGGAGAGUAAUCUGGACUGAAAUAAAACCGUUAGAGCACAUUAAAUAGGCAUUAAAUGUAGCCAAAAUGAGCUAAAAACUAACCGUUGCUGAACUUUUUCGUCGUAGGGGUCGACUCAUAGGGUUGACUCAUGCACAGGGAUCGACUCAUAGGGUCGACUCAUGCACGGGGGUCGACUCAUAGGGUCAGCUCAUAUGGUGCAGAAUAGAAAUUGACAGUUCUGUAUCUUUGGCUUGCACAGCAACAGAGGUCGACUCAUAGGAUUGUCUCAUGUACAGGGGUCGACUCAUGAGGUCGACUUAAUUGGGUGUGCCAGCUAAAAAUAAUAUGCCAUUCAGCCUAUUUUGUCAUGAGUCGAGUCAUGGGGUUGACUCAAAUUUAUAAACAUGAUUUUCUUUCAAAAUACACAUCCAAAAAUAUUGAAAUUGCCUCCAAUAGAUUACAAAUCUUCUGCUCUUACUCUUGAGGCUUCCGAAUCAGAACUUGAUAAAAUUACGAUUUUACCUCUGAAAUACAAUAAAUCUUUUUUCAAGUCAAAAUCAUUAGUAACCCUCUCAAAUGCUUUGUAAUCAUCAAAAUCAAUUCAAGGAGCAACAGCAAUGAUGGUUUAAAAAGGAAGGGCCGGAUUUUAGGGAGGUGAUGACGCUCGAUAAGACGGCACAACAACCAUCAAAGACAAGGAAGAAGGAAGAGAGAGAUGGUGCAGGAUUCAGUGAUGGGUUCGAUCAAGAGGUGAUGGGUGUAAAUAGAAAAGGAUAGGAAGAGAAUAGAUUCAACUUGUCCAUGGAUAAAGCUGAAUUUCACUAGCAUAAUCAAUCCAACAACCCACCCCUUUGAGCAUACGGCUCUAUCAGGUCCCCCCUUAUGGCUUUAUCUUCUCCGAUGGCUGAAGAUCAGGCAGGGGAUUAGAUUCGCAAGUUUUGAACUUUUUUUUUGAAAGCUUGUGGUGAAGAUGGCAAGCCUUGCCGAUUUCACACCGAACCAGAUCCAAUUGGAUCGAUUCUUACAUUCUCUUACCGACUUCACAUUAAACUAGAUCCAAUUGGACCGAUUUUCACACCUCCCUCCUAAAAAAAAAUUCAUCCUUGAAAUAUGAGAAAUUGAGAUAUUUUGAAGUUAAAGAUGCUCAAUCCAAAACUUAUAUUUAUCAAUUUAUCCUGACUUGCCAAUUCUGUCACACUGAAUAGAUCAUCAUAUUGUUAGAUUUGUAUCCUAGAAGUCAAUUGUUGACUGACACAUUAUGUAUUUUUGGAGCCUAAACUUAUACUUGUAAUCUUUUUAUUAUCAAUAAAGGACUUUUUCAUUCCAUUCAUGUAUAUGUGUCUAUGAUUUAUCCUAAAAAUUAACAAAGAUAAUUUUUGUAUAUUCUUAAAGAGUUAAGAAUUUGAGACAUACAUUAAUUAGUGGUUAAUUUCUAAAUACUUUCGAUCAGAGAAUCAUCACGGAGGACAGUGAUUGAUCCAUUUGAGAUCGGUGCACGGUUCACCUCCCUUGUGGGCAGAUAAGUCUAGGAUCUAUGGUGUAGAGGCACUGGGGUGAAGGUAUGGAUGGUUGUUAGAGAACAACUUGCACUGAGCGUGACCAAUAUGAGAACCAUAUGGAUGUCUACUCACUCGUCAGUGAUCUUCUCAAUGCUGCAGUGGUGUGAGUGAUCCUUUUCCUAUGGUAUCAUUGGCUAUUUGCAGUGAGACUACUGGGUUUGACUGCAUAUUUUCUUGGUCCCUAGCCAUUCGGAUUUUUAUUGUGUAUAUUGACUUCAGUAGGUUCAGAUUCGUUGUUUGGAGUAGGAUGCACUUAGAUAGAAUCUAUCGAUCUUGGUAGAAAAAGGAGAAAUCUUAUACGAUUUGCGAGACUGAGUUCAGAAAGUCUUUGACUAAAGCAAGUAUGAAUACUGAAAAAAAUUUUCACAGAAUUCACAAAUUAACUCGAGUCGAGUCAAUCUAGCAUAUGAUUGACGAUGAGAUUUGACGAGUUCUCUAUGACCUUCGUCAAGUUGGGACUCAUGAUAGAAAGACUGAAUCAUACGAUAACUGCACCUAAUAGUUCAUACUUUUAUUCUAUUGGGUUGCCACUACAUACUGCUAGAUGUCACUAGUAGAUUUUGAGACUCAUCGGACGUCAUCUUGAUGAUUGAUGGUCCUUGAAGGAUAGAAUUGAAAAUAUUCUAAUCCAUCGAAAAGAGUUUCAAUAAUAUUAUGAUGGAGAUCACAAUAUAUCUCACUACCAGAUAGAAUGGAACUUAUGGGGUCAUAUAUUAAAAGAUUUAAUCUUAAAUUUGUCAAUUAAGCUUAUGAAGUUCCAAUUGAGUUUGAAUUUAUUGAAAUUCUAUUAGGUUUAUGAGAACCAUACUAGCACACGGUUAAAUCUAAUUCUUCUCGAGAUUUUGAUUUGAUCAAGUCUAUAGCCUUGAACCUAACCUAAAUCUAUUUGGAUUUAAUUAGACUCUUAAUUAUGAACCCAAAAGGAUUUGAUUAAGUCAAUUAUUUGGUAUAAUUAUUCUAAUAUUAUCUCUUCUUUAUCUCCUAAUUAUCUCUAAGUGUGUAUAUGAAAAAUUUGGAAGAUUGGAUGGCACAUCUUUUUUCUUUUGGUAAAUAUUGGAUGCCAUAUCCUAGAAGGGCCCACCCCCUCUUAUGUGUCAUGAUAUGGAGGAGAGAGAAUGGGGGCCACGCCCCAUCUCUUUUGACUAGAGAUUCCUUUGUGGAUGUCUCUUGUACAUGUUUUAAGGGGCUGAUUAUAUACCAUUUAUAUCUGAUUUUAAUUGACAUAAAUUAGAUUAAAAAGGUAGAAGAUUCUUAUGAGAUAAUGAUCUAUCUUUUUAAGAUAAUUGGGUUCCUAAUAUAUGUCAGGAUAGUAUCUAUAUAAAGGGAGGUCUAUAAGGUUUCUUGAUAAUAGAAUUUUCAUCAAAAAAAAAAUCUUUUCUUUCCCUCUCCAUGCCUCCUCUCUUCCCUCUCUUUCUUUCCAUGCCCAAAGGUUGGGUGCCUCUCUUCCACGUGCCCAAAAGUAGUAUUGGAGACUUAGAGAUUGUAGAUCAAGGAGAAGAAGAAGAAGGUUGCUGAUCAAGGAGUUGAUAUCAUAGUGCAGAUCAAAGAAGUUGAUCAAAGUGUUCAAGGUUGAAGUUUUUUUGGAAAGAAGAAUCUUCUACAAGGAGAAAGAAGUUUGAGAUCGAUCCUGAUGGAUAUCUGUAGAGGUCGGAUAUGCGUGCGGCUCAACCUUCUACGAAUCUGAGAUCAUUAGAAAUGGUGAAUAUCUAUCCGCGCCAAGGUAAUGAGAUCUGAUCUCAUAAGUAUUUCUAAAUUUUAGAUUAUUGAUAUAUAUUUUUUUCUGGACUUGGGUAGGUUUAGAUUUGAUAUCUUGCAUGUGGGG